AUUCCUAGCACCCCCCUCACAGUGGUACAUCCCUUCAGGUAACCAUUCACAAGUCAUGUACAGUAGAGCGGGACAUUACAGUUACUCUCAGCGGAAUUCACUGGAGAAGGCACAAGUUCAUGCACUGCACUGGCCUGCACCACGAUUAUAAGGUGGAGUAAUGCAUGAAUGGAUAAAAAAGAGUGAGAGGUUAUCAGCUGUUGAGGAGCAAAUGGAGAUCCGUGUCCAGGGGAGUGAGGCUAUUGCGAGUGUGAAAGGUUGUCCAGGAAGUAACUAAGAAGACAUGAACAGAGAGGUGGUGAUCCUCAGAGGAGCGAUGAAGUAGAGCAGCCAGCACCCCAAGUAGAGCAGGCACUGUGGAAAAAUAGUUGUGACUCAACCAGACCAUUACAAAGUAUGGCCUGGAGGAUUUUCAUCUCAAGGUGCAAGAACAUUCUUAAUGACUGUACACGGCGGCUGCUGAUGGACGAUGUUGGGCCAAAUGUGCUACAGUUAGCGUUAAGGAGGUUGGAGACUAUGCAGAGAAGCCUUCAGUGGGCAAGAGGAAGACUGAUCAAUGUAACUGCAGCAGAUCAACUUCUGCGUGACUUGGCUGAAUUGAUUCAGGAGGUCGAACUGUCUACUCAGCAUGGCCAACAAGGCUGUUUUGGAUACCAGGCACCAGUGGUUUUCAACAGAGGUAGAGGUAGAUCCCUUUACCUUAUCACU